GCGGAGGGAUCAUUACUGAGUGAGGGCCUCCGGGCUCGACCUCCAACCCUUUGUGAACACAACUCGUUGCUUCGGGGGCGACCCUGCCGUUUUCACGGCGAGCGCCUCCGGAGGCCUUCAAACACUGCAUCUUUGCGUCGGAGUUUAAGUAAAUUAAACAAAACUUUCAACAACGGAUCUCUUGGUUCUGGCAUCGAUGAAGAACGCAGCGAAAUGCGAUAAGUAAUGUGAAUUGCAGAAUUCAGUGAAUCAUCGAAUCUUUGAACGCACAUUGCGCCCUCUGGUAUUCCGGAGGGCAUGCCUGUUCGAGCGUCAUUUCACCACUCAAGCCUGGCUUGGUAUUGGGUGCCGCGGUUUUCCGCGCGCCUUGAAGUCUCCGGCUGAGCUGUCCGUCUCCAAGCGUUGUGAUUUCAUUAAUCGCUUCGGGGUGCGGGCGGCCGCGGCCGUUAAAUCUUUCACAAGGUUGACCUCGGAUCAGGUAGGGAUACCCGCUG
rnacentral:rRNA from 1 species